CCCGCACAAGCGGUGGAGCAUGUGGUUUAAUUCGAAGCAACGGCGAAGAACCUUACCAGGUCUUGACAUCUUUUGAUCACCUGAGAGAUCAGGUUUCCCCUUCGGGGGCAAAAUGACAGGUGGUGCAUGGUUGUCGUCAGCUCGUGUCGUGAGAUGUUGGGUUAAGUCCCGCAACGAGCGCAACCCUUAUGACUAGUUGCCAGCAUUUAGUUGGGCACUCUAGUAAGACUGCCGGUGACAAACCGGAGGAAGGUGGGGAUGACGUCAAAUCAUCAUGCCCCUUAUGACCUGGGCUACACACGUGCUACAAUGGAUGGUACAACGAGUUGCGAGACCGCGAGGUCAAGCUAAUCUCUUAAAGCCAUUCUCAGUUCGGACUGUAGGCUGCAACUCGCCUACACGAAGUCGGAAUCGCUAGUAAUCGCGGAUCAGCACGCCGCGGUGAAUACGUUCCCGGGCCUUGUACACACCGCCCGUCACACCAUGAGAGUUUGUAACACCCGAAGCCGGUGGCGUAACCCU
rnacentral:rRNA from 1 species